GUAACACGUAUGCAACCUACCCUUUACUGGGGCAUAGCUCAGAGAAAUCUGAAUUAAUUCCCCAUAAUACAAUUGAAUGGCAUCAUUUAAUUAUUAAAGCUGAGGCGGUAAAGGAUGGGCAUGCGUUGCAUUAGCUAGUUGGUGAGGUAAUGGCUCACCAAGGCUACGAUGCAUAGGGGUUCUGAGAGGAUGAUCCCCCACACUGGUACUGAGACACGGACCAGACUCCUACGGGAGGCAGCAGUAGGGAAUAUUGGUCAAUGGACGCAAGUCUGAACCAGCCAUGCCGCGUGCAGGAAGACGGCCCUCUGGGUUGUAAACUGCUUUUAUAUGGGAAGAAACCUCAUUAUGCGUAAUGAACUGACGGUACCAUAUGAAUAAGGAUCGGCUAACUUCGUGCCAGCAGCCGCAGUAAGACGAAGGAUCCAAGCGUUGUCCGGAUUUACUGGGUUUAAAGGGUGCGUAGGCGGAAUUUUAAGUCAGUGGUGAAAGCCCUUCGCUCAACGAAGGAACUGCCAUUGAAACUGAAAUUCUUGAAUACGGUUGAGGUAGAUGGAAUAUAACAUGUAGCGGUGAAAUGCUUAGAUAUGUUAUAGAACACCGAUUGCGAAGGCAGUCUACUAAGCCGUGAUUGACGCUGAGGCA
rnacentral:rRNA from 1 species